AUGAACGCUGGCGGCGUGCCUAAGACAUGCAAGUCGAGUGGGUUUAGACCCACGGCGAACGGGUGAGUAACGCGUAGGAACUUUCGUUAAGUUCGGGAUAACUCUCCGAAAGGAGAGAUAAUACCGAAUGUGGUCGCAAGACUAAAGAUUUAUCGCUUAACGUGAGGCCUGCGUCCCAUCAGCUAGUUGGUAGGGUAAAAGCCUACCAAGGCUAUGACGGGUAGGGGGCCCGAGAGGGUGAUCCCCCACACUGGGACUGCGACACGGCCCAGACUCCUACGGGAGGCAGCAGUUAGGAAUUUUGGACAAUGGACGAAAGUCUGAUCCAGCGACGCCGCGUGCAGGAAGAAGGCCUUCGGGUUGUAAACUGCUUUUAGCAGGGAAAAAUUUUUGAUUGUACCUGCAGAAUAAGAGGUUGCUAACUCUGU
rnacentral:rRNA from 1 species